rnacentral:sRNA from 1 species
ACUGGGUAUGGUUGUGCAUGCCUGUAAUCCCAAUGGCUUGGGAGGCUGAGGCAGGAGGAUUUCAAGUUCAAAACCAUCUGGAGCAAAAGAGAGGCACUAAGCAACUCAGUGAGAACCUGUCUCUA